UUUUUUAUUUUUUGUCUUUUUUUUUUUUUUGCCAUUUUUUGGGCUGCUCCUGCGGCAUAUGGAGGUUUCCAGGCUAGGGGUCAAAUCGGAGCUGUAGCCACCAGCCUACACCAGAGCCACAGGAUCCGAGCAACCUCAUGGUUCCUAGUCGGAUUCGUUAACCACUGCGCCACCACAGGAACUCCUGUUGUCACUUUUUUAGAGGCAAGCGGCAAGACCUGAAUUCAGACCCGGGGAGACUGGUUCAAGCCCGGGGUCUUAACCAUUGCCCAUACUUGCCCUGGAAAUGGCUUCUAUGAAGCCCAUCACCCUGGAAAUUUUUGGUUAGUUACCUAAAAGGGUAUGAGGGCCAGGGGGAAGAAGACCCUGUUAAAUGACAUGAGUCAAGGGAGACCAUGUGCUUUAGCCUAAACCACAUCCUCUCAAAUAAAAAAUACAAGAACAAAAAACACACCAUCUUCUUCAGAAGGCAUUUAGGGUAAUUAAUUUUCUCUUUCUUUCUUUUUUUCCUUUCUCUGCACCCAUAGUACAUGGAAGUUUCUGGGUCAGGGAUUGAAUCCAAGCUGCAGCUGCAACCUAUGCCACAGCUGUGGCAAUGCUGGAACUUUAACUCACAGCUCCAGGCUGGGGAUCAACCCUGCCCCUGCCCCUCUGCAGAGACCCAAGCUGCUGCAGUUGGACUUUUUUUUUUUUUUUUGGCCAUUUUUUUUUUUUUGUUCUGGCCAUUUCUUGGGCCGCUCCCUUGGCAUAUGGAGAUGACUGGCACUGAUCCUAUGAACUAUGUUCUUGGAUGGAUGCAAGUGACAUUGAUAGGGUACAAUGUUACCAUGGAGACAGCUGGGCCUGGUCCUAUUAGCUGCAAUCAUUCUAGCUAUUAUCCUGAUAAAAAGGGUGUGAGGAAAUUAACAUGUCAGCAGCUCCAAGGACAUGAGACUACUACAGAUUCUGUAUGAGCUUGUUGUUUCUACUGACAGAUCCAUGAACAUCUCCUGGAACCACUGUGAAGAUGGAAUAUGCAAAAUUGCCAGAGAAGUUGUCAGAAAAAUCUUCCUGUCUACCCCUUGUUCAAGGUUUGUUCCAGAUUAAUAGCCAAAUAAAGUAGAAAUGUUUGUGCCAUUUGUUUUAAAGCAUAAACACAAAAGAAGAAAGGUAAAGAACAAAAAAAUCCCUGGAGUUCCUGCUAUGGUGCAGUGGGUGAAGAGUUUGACUGUAGCAGCUCUGGGUGCUGAGGAGGUUGAGGGUUUGAUCCCCAAUCCAGUGCAGUAGGUAAAAGGAUCAGAUGUUGCUCUACUGUAGCUUGCAGUUUCGGCUCAGAUUCGACUCCUGCCCCAGGACCUCCCAUAUGCAGGGAUGCAGCCAGUAAAAUAAGAACAAAAAAGCCCACCUUGAAAGUUCAUAUGUGGUCUACAAAUCAACCUGAAGAGCAGGCCAGCUGGGGGUAUGCCUUUGGGUACUCUAUGCUUAGAUUUUUGAGCAGAAGCUUAGUUUUAUUUCAGUGGGCUCAUUGUUUCACCUACUGACUUUUCUCAGGGGAAGUUUCCCAUCAAUAUCUUAUGUGGCAGCUAGUAUCAUUUGCUCUAAUUAGAAGACAAGAGUAGGAGUUCCAGUUUUGGCUCAGCUGUGAGGAACCCAACUAGUACCCAUGAGAAUGUGGGUUUGAUCCCUGGCCUUGCUCAGUGGGUUAAGGAUCUGGCAUUGCCAGGAACUGCAGUGUAGGCUGCAGAUGUGGCUUGGAUCCCAAGUUGCUGUGGCUGUGGUAUAGGCCAGCAGCUACAGCUCCGAUUUGACCCCUAGCCUGGGAACCUCCAUAUGCUGCAGGUAUGGAAAGCAAAAAAAAAAGGGUAAGAGUAAAAACAGAUGUGAUGACAACCACUUUGGAAAAUGGUAUGGCAGUCCUUCAAACAGUUAAAAAUAGCACUGCCAUGUGACCCGGCAAUGCUCCCAAAGAACUGAAAGCAGGGUCUAAAACAGAUACUCUUGCACCUGCAUUCACAGUAGCAUUGUUCAAAGUGAGGGCUGUCUUCUGGACUGCAGAUGGCCUGCUUCUCAUCCAGUCCUUACAGGGCAUAAAGAAGGUGAGAGGGCUCUGUGGGGUCUCUUUUACAAGGGUGCUAAUUCUGCUCAUGGGGGCUCCACUCUCCUGACCUAGUCGCUUCCCACAGGCCCCACCUCCUAACACCAUCGCCUUGGAUGUUAGGAUCUUGACAUUGAAUCUUGGGAGUGGGGGGAAACUUCAGUUCAUCAACUGACUGGAGAAAGAGCCUUCAGUAUGGAUAGGAGCUAAGUCAGCAGCCUGCUGAUUUCAUGCUGAAACACAGGUUUCAUCAGAGGCACAUUCAUACCCUGAACCUUGACAGUAAAUAACCCAAAUGCCUCAAUAAUGGAAGACAACCUGUAAAAAAAAAUAGUCACUGCUCUUUGCAUCCAACAAAAUCCCUGGCACUGGGAGGCAGCAAAGAUAGUUCUAGUCCUGCCCUCAUGGAGAUCACCAUUUUCUAGAGGAAAUGGACUGGGAACCUAUUUUAACUUUGCCGCAAAAGAGGUCUAGCCUUUGUUUCCAGCUCCUGGGAGGUAAUCUUCAAGAUGUUAUGCCUGAUACAGGUGGCUUUGUUUGCUUGGUGGCCUUGGGUCUAAUGCAUAUGUAAUAAUACAGUUUAGGCUGGGGGCCAGAAAGACUGGGGUGUGAUUUAAGGUGAGAGCUUUGAGUCAGGUGGUAUUGAUGGACCUGGACUAAGAUCAGUCUUGUGGGCAACUAACCAAUCAGCCAAUCAUGGUCACAAAAUGAAGCCGCAGUAAAAACUCUGCACCUGAGGCCUGGGUGGCCUUAGUGUGUAUAUCAUCACAUGCCAAUGAUGAUAGAGUGAAUGAUGACUCCAUGGGGCUAGGACACCAGAGGCUGUGCACCUGAUGCUUCUCUUAGACUCUGCACCGAGUGCCUCCUUCUUACUGCUGAUUUCAAUCUAUAUCCUUUCCCUGUGAUAAACCAUAGCCAUGAGCAUAACAGCUUCAGGUCAGUUCUGUGAAUCUUUCCAGCAAGUUACCUAACCUGACGGUGGUCUGGAGGACCCCUGACCUUACAAGUAUAGCAGAAAUGAGGGAAGUCUUGGGUGGACUGUGUCCUUAAGCUUCAUAGUUGGUGAUAAACCUUUAUAGCAAAUAGUUACAUGAAAAAAUAUUUAUUUGAAACUGUCACAGUCCUUUGAAUAAAAAACAAACAAACAAGUAGGGGUGCUGUGAGAACCCAGCAUCUUCUGGAUGUUAUUCAUGCCAGAACUUUUAUUAGAGUUUUUCACCGAGUGAGUUCAGCCUGGACUGAUUACAGGGUAGGGAGAGUGCUCUGAAGGUUGGGUCUGACUCCACUUGAGGAAAACUGUCUUUGGGAAGUUCCCAUCACCUUUCCAGAGACCCUUCCAUUCUUUGUUGAGGUGCAUGUUAACAUCUGCAGCUCUGUUUUCUCCAAGCUCAGUUUCUGACAUAUGACCUUGCUGAGGGAACAGUGCUCUGAAGGGUCUCCCCAUUUCUAUAAACAGUCAUUUGGGUGUUGAAAAAAUCCUGGAGUUCCCGUCGUGGUGCAAUGGUUAAUGAAUCCGACUAGGAACCAUGAGGUUGCGGGUUCGGUCCCUGGCCUUGCUCAGUGGGUUAAGGAUCCGGUGUUGCCGUGAGCUGUGGUGUAGGUCGCAGACGUGGCUCGGAUCCCACGUUGCUGUGGCUCUGGCGUAGGCAGGUGGCUACAGCUCCAAUUUGACCCCUAGCCUGGGAACCUCCAUAUGCCAUGGGAGUGGCCCAAGAAAUGGCAAAAAGACAGAAAAAAAAAAAAAAAAAGAAAAAAUCCUAUAAGCCUUACCUUUUGGGGAUUUUAUAAAACCUGCUACAGAGUCAAAACACUUGGCGAGUGAGUCAGUUUUCCUGGGUCUCCCCCAUGUAUUCAUGUUAGUAAACUUAGUUUGAUUUCCUCCUGUUCAUCUGUCUCAAGUCAAUUCUUAGACCAACCAGAAGAACCCAGAAAGGUAGAAAAAACUUUCUGCCUCUCCAACAAUAUUCUCAUGGUGAGAAGAUUUGUCAAAAGCACUGAAUGUACAGCACCAGGUAUGAACCCUAGUGUAAACUCUGGACUCUGGGGGAUCAUGACAUGUCCAUGUAGAUUUACUGACUGGGACCAGGACACUGCUCUGGUGCAGGAUGGUCACAGAGUGACUGGGAGUGGAAGCUCUGAACACCUGUGUGUGUGUUUGUAGAGGGGACAGAGCAGGGGACAUAAGGAAACUCU
rnacentral:lncRNA from 1 species